rnacentral:rRNA from 1 species
AUUGAACGCUGGCGGCAGGCUUAACACAUGCAAGUCGAGCGGGGUGAUGGUGCUUGCACUAUCACUUAGCGGCGGACGGGUGAGUAAUGCUUAGGAAUCUGCCUAUUAGUGGGGGACAACAUCUCGAAAGGGAUGCUAAUACCGCAUACGUCCUACGGGAGAAAGCAGGGGAUCACUUGUGACCUUGCGCUAAUAGAUGAGCCUAAGUCGGAUUAGCUAGUUGGUGGGGUAAAGGCCUACCAAGGCGACGAUCUGUAGCGGGUCUGAGAGGAUGAUCCGCCACACUGGGACUGAGACGCGGCCCAGACUCCUACGGGAGGCAGCAGUGGGGAAUAUUGGACAAUGGGGGGAACCCUGAUCCAGCCAUGCCGCGUGCGUGAAGAAGGCCUUAUGGUUGUAAAGCACUUUAAGCGAGGAGGAGGCUCUUUUGGUUAAUACCCAGAAUGAGUGGACGUUACUCGCAGAAUAAGCACCGGCUAACUCUGUGCCAGCAGCCGCCGCGG